ensembl:lncRNA
UGGCCAAAUCACACUAUCAAAACAUGCUUCCUGCUUGGAUUUAUUUAGGUAGGAUGUUCAGAUGGCCAAAUCACACUAUCAAAACAUGCUUCCUGCUUGGAUUUAUUUAGGUAGGAUGUUCAGAUGGCCAAAUCACACUAUCAAAACAUGCUUCCUGCUUGGAUUUAUUUAGGUAGGAUGUUCAGAUGGCCAAAUCACACUAUUAAAACAUGCUUCCUGCUUGGAUUUAUUUAGGUAGGAUGUUCAGAUGGCCAAAUCACACUAUCAAAACGUGCCUCCAGCACACAAUCAUCUAAUGUUGACAAAGAAUACAAAGAGACAUGGAGGGGAAAAGACAGCUGUUUUUAUUUGAAGUUGUUAUGUGUUUUCCUUACAUUUUUUGCAUUUAUAUUCUUGAUUGCUCUCUUUAUAUUUUGCACAUGCAAAAUGUGCCCAUCUUUGGC